rnacentral:rRNA from 1 species
GAUGAACGCUGGCGGCGUGCCUAAUACAUGCAAGUCGAGCGAACAGACGAGGAGCUUGCUCCUUUGACGUUAGCGGCGGACGGGUGAGUAACACGUAGGUAACCUACCUAUAAGACUGGGAUAACUUCGGGAAACCGGAGCUAAUACCGGAUAAUAUUUCGAACCGCAUGGUUCGAUAGUGAAAGAUGGCUUUGCUAUCACUUAUAGAUGGACCUGCGCCGUAUUAGCUAGUUGGUAAGGUAACGGCUUACCAAGGCAACGAUACGUAGCCGACCUGAGAGGGUGAUCGGCCACACUGGAACUGAGACACGGUCCAGACUCCUACGGGAGGCAGCAGUAGGGAAUCUUCCGCAAUGGGCGAAAGCCUGACGGAGCAACGCCGCGUGAGUGAUGAAGGUCUUCGGAUCGUAAAACUCUGUUAUUAGGGAAGAACAAACGUGUAAGUAACUGUGCACGUCUUGACGGUACCUAAUCAGAAAGCCACGGCGAACUACGU